rnacentral:rRNA from 1 species
UAGAACCACCUUCCCAUCCUGAACUGACCGGAGCUCAGCCCAUUCUGGAAGCUAAGCAGGGUUAGACCUGGUUAGUCCUUGGAUGGGAGCCUACCAGGAAGUACCGGGGUCUUCCCAG